UACGGGGGGGAGCAAGCGUUGUUCGGAUUUACUGGGCGUAAAGGGCGCGUAGGCGGCCACCGCAAGUCGACUGUGAAAUCUCCGGGCUUAACUCGGAAAGGUCAGCCGAUACUGCGGGGCUAGAGUGCAGAAGGGGCAACUGGAAUUCUCGGUGUAGCGGUGAAAUGCGUAGAUAUCGAGAGGAACACCUGCGGCGAAGGCGGGUUGCUGGGCUGACACUGACGCUGAGGCGCGAAAGCUAGGGGAGCGAACGGG
rnacentral:rRNA from 1 species